GGGGGGGGGGGGAUGCAGCAGGGGCAAUUGCCUAAUUGUAUAACGUUAUUGUAAAUUAUUAAGCCAAAUGGCACUCAUAAUCUUGUGAAUCAGAAUGUACAAUUCUGUAUGGGGUGGUCAUAAGCAUGUAUCUAACUGACAUGAUUUUGAAUGCAUUGACAUUUGGAUGCUUAUUUCAGCAUAAUAGGUAUUGCUGCCCCCGGUGAAAAAUAACCUGCCAUUAUAUGGCCUUGCACCGUAUCCUAGAUGGUAUAUAUGAUGAUAUAAUUUAUAACAUAAUGUACAAAACAACUGUAAAUUAGUUUGAAAAAACAAUUCUAAAACUG
rnacentral:lncRNA from 1 species